rnacentral:rRNA from 1 species
GACGAACGCUGGCGGCGUGCUUAACACAUGCCAGUCGAACGGAAAGGCCCUGCUUUUGUGGGGUGCUCGAGUGGCGAACGGGUGAGUAACACGUGAGUAACCUGCCCUUGACUUUGGGAUAACUUCAGGAAACUGGGGCUAAUACCGGAUAGGAGCUCCUGCUGCAUGGUGGGGGUUGGAAAGUUUCGGCGGUUGGGGAUGGACUCGCGGCUUAUCAGCUUGUUGGUGGGGUAGUGGCUUACCAAGGCUUUGACGGGUAGCCGGCCUGAGAGGGUGACCGGCCACAUUGGGACUGAGAUACGGCCCAGACUCCUACGGGAGGCAGCAGUGGGGAAUAUUGCACAAUGGGCGGAAGCCUGAUGCAGCCACGCCGCGUGCGGGAUGACGGCCUUCGGGUUGUAAACCGCUUUCGCCUGUGACGAAGCGUGAGUGACGGUAAUGGGUAAAGAAGCACCGGCUAACUACGUG